rnacentral:rRNA from 1 species
CAGUAGUCAUAUGCUUGUCUCAAAGAUUAAGCCAUGCAUGUCUCAGUACAAGCCAAAUUAAGGUGAAACCGYGAAAGGCUCAUUAAAUCAGUUAUGGUUCCUUAGAUCGUACCCACAAUUACUUGGAUAACUGUGGUAAUUCUAGAGCUAAUACAUGCAAACAGAGCUCCGACCGGAGACGGAAGGAGUGCUUUUAUUAGAUCAAAACCAAUCGGUGGCGGGUUCGCGCUCGUCAUCGUACAACUUGGUGACUCUGAAUAACUUUACGCUGAUCGCACGGUCAUCGCACCGGCGACGCAUCUUUCAAAUGUCUGCCUUAUCAACUGUCGAUGGUAGGUUCUGCGCCUACCAUGGUUGUAACGGGUAACGGGGAAUCAGGGUUCGAUUCCGGAGAGGGAGCCUGAGAAACGGCUACCACAUCCAAGGAAGGCAGCAGGCGCGCAAAUUACCCACUCCCGGCACGGGGAGGUAGUGACRAAAAAUAACGAUACGGGACUCAU